UCCAAGGGCUGGCCUCUGUCACCCCCGACACGCACUCUGUCCCCCACCCCUGCAGUCUGAGCCUUCAUCUUCCAGUGGUCACUUUCUCCUUUCUGACUAAGAGCUGGAUUUGGGAUCAGUGAAGCUGACAGGAGAAGAGUAGUGGAGAGAUUUGAGCAAGAGGGGACUGGAGCCCCCCAGACCACAAAUGGCAGGGAUGCCCUCUUCCUGCGACUCCUAUCAACUCCACUCCCAUCCUAGACACACACACCAUUCACUCCUCGCUCAAGUUCCAAAGUGAACUGGAACUCCGAGGACAAUGGGGACGGGGUAUUCUGUCACACCCUUUCUCUUGCUUCCUUUGGGGAGGAGGGAGGCCAGAAGGAACAAUAGCUUCCCUGAGCCCCUUCUUCCUGCCUCAGGGAGAGCAGCAAGAGAAAGAAAGAGAGAGGCGAGCGAAAUUCCUGAAUGGAUAGACAGAUGCUACGUCACCGUCAUCGGAGCUGCAUCCUCCACUCCACAAGAGGCUAGGGGCUGGGGGCAGAGAGGCAGUCCAGCCGCAGGGGCCACCGAGCAAUCUCUCCUCCUCACAGAAGCCGGGAGCUGGGCAUCCCAGAAGAAGCAGCCUCAUUUGUUUCUGGUGUGAUCGUAGGUGGCCGCCUUUGGCUUUUGGGGGGAAGUCCAUGGUCUUGCUCACUCCUGUCUUGGCAAGUACUUCCCAAUGUUUAACCCAAGUCAUCACUGCCAUAGGCCCGGCUCGGUGACCCCGCUUGUCAUGGCUGAGUUGAGAGGCAUAGCUUUCACCCGGAAGAGAAGAAGUGGAGCUUGGUUUGGCGACCACCUGGCUGUUCAAGCCCUUUCUUAGCCUUUAUCUCAGUCCAUCUUCCAGCAGUCCUGGACACGGGAGAGCCUGUCUCCGCCUGGCAAAGGAGGAAUUCACGCCUGGGGACGAUGCGCCACUCCCAGUCGCCGGACUAACACAACCAGAGGGCCGAGAGAAGGGAGGACCCCACAGGCAGGCCAGAAAAGAAGAACCUGCUUCACCUGCUGGCCUGGGUUCCCUCAGGAGCUUUCCUGGAUGGACUGAACGAUGAGGCUGAGCUGUAGUGAGUGAAAGCUGACCGGCUCCUCCAAGAAGACUCGAGCUGUGUGGAAGUGGGAGGACCCCGCUUCAGCCUGGGCACCCCACUCGGCUCGGAGCUGUCUGGGACAAGACUUGCCUGACCCAUUCCUCUGUGGCUGCAGCUGGUCCUUCUGGCCCGGCCCAGUUUAUCCUGUGUCCUCUGCGCUGGGACGCCCCUGCCCUCUGAGAUAGAA